GACGGAGGGUGCAAGCGUUGUUCGGAAUUACUGGGCGUAAAGCGUGCGUAGGCGGUUCGCUGUGUCCGAUGUGAAAGCCCCGGGCUUAACCUGGGAAUGGCAUUGGAAACUGGCGGGCUUGAGUGCGGCAGAGGGGGGUGGAAUUCCGCGUGUAGCAGUGAAAUGCGUAGAGAUGCGGAGGAACACCGAUGGCGAAGGCAGCCCCCUGGGUCGACACUGACGCUCAGGCACGAAAGCGUGGGGAGCAAACAGG
rnacentral:rRNA from 1 species